UGAGUAACCUGCCCUUAACUCUGGGAUAAGCCUGGGAAACUGGGUCUAAUACCGGAUAUGACUCCUCAUCGCAUGGUGGGGGGUGGAAAGCUUUUUGUGGUUUUGGAUGGACUCGCGGCCUAUCAGUUUGUUGGUGAGGUAAUGGCUCACCAAGGCGACGACGGGUAGCCGGCCUGAGAGGGUGACCGGCCACACUGGGACUGAGACACGGCUCAGACUCCUACGGGAGGCAG
rnacentral:rRNA from 1 species